CGGUACUGUAGUGUAAACCCUUUUAUUUUUCAUAAAUGUCACGAACUUAGUGCGUAUCACAAUUUUACACCGGCUGCGCCAAUAGAAACGCAGAUUUUAAUCAUUAGUUACACGGUGAUUUGGACUGGAAUAUAAGAACACCUUGAAAUUCUACGAGACACCUGUGGCAGAAGAAACGAAUAUUCCGUCUAGGCUCUACUAUAGUAUCGGCCAUCCUUAAUAAAUAUUUCACAGUUACACCAGUAAAUACUAAAUAAAAUAAAUUUCACUAUA